rnacentral:tRNA from 1 species
GGCGGUGUAGCCAAGCUGGUAAGGCGCCUGGUUGCAACCCAGGAAAUCAUGGGUUCGAGUCCCAUCACCGCCUCCG